GGGGUCUCUGUUUGUGCAUUCCAGGGUAGAAACACUACAGGGACACUUUUGGCGUGUGAUGGGCACUGAACCUACAAAUAGCAAUAAAAGAUGGCCUUUCAAGUGGCUUCCUUCGGUAAAUAAAAGGUAAAUAAACAGCAAUGCUCAUUUAGAAGAUAACUAAGGGGCGCCCCAGUGGCUCAGUCAGUUAAGCAUCUGACCUCAGGUCAGGUCAUGAUCUCAUGGUUCAUGAGUUCGAGCCCCGCGACAGGCUCUGUGCUGACAGCUAGGAGCCUGGAGCCUGCUAUGGAUUCUGUGUCUCCCUCUCUCUCUGCCCCUCCCCCACUCACACUCUGUCUCUCUCUCAAAAAUAAAUAUUUUUUUUUAAAAAAGAUAACUAUCAUGCCGGUCAGAGUGGCUAAAAUGAACAAAUCAGGAGACUCUAGAUGCUGGAGAGGAUGUGGAGAAACGGGAACCCUCUUGCACUGUUGGUGGGAAUGCAAAUUGGUGCAGCCACUCUGGAAAACAGUGUGGAGGUGCCUCAAAAAAUUAAAAAUAGAGCUACCCUAUGACCCAGCAAUAGCACUGCUAGGAAUUUACCCAAGGGAUACAGGAGUGCUGAUGCAUAGGGGCACUUGUACCCCAAUGUUUAUAGCAGCUCUUUCAACAAUAGCCAAAUUAUGGAAAGAGCCUAAAUGUCCAUCAACUGACGAAUGGAUAAAGAAGAUGUGGUUUAUACACACAAUGGAACACUACGUGGCAAUGAGAAAGAAUGAAAUCUGGCAACAUUUGCAGCAACGUGGAUGGAACUGGAAGGUAUUAUGCUGAGUGAAAUAAGUCAGGCAGAGAAAGACAGAUGCCAUAUGUUUUCACUCAAAUGUGGAUCCUGAGAAACUUAACAGAGAACCACGGGGGAAGGAAAGAGGGGUUGGGGGGAGUUAUAGAGAGGGAAGGAGGAAAACCAUAAUAGACUCUUGAAUUACAGAGAACAAACUGAGGGCUGAUGGGGGGCGGGAGGGAGGGGAAAGUGGGUGAUGGGCAUGGAGGAGGGCCCCUGUUGGGAUGAGCACUGGGUGACGUAUGGAAACCAAUUUGACGAUGAAUUAUAUUAUAAGAAAAUUAUUUAAUUAUGAAAAAAUUUUAAAAAUAAUAAUAAAAAAUUUUUAAAAGAUAACUAAACAGUACUUUAGAUUUUGUGACAGCAGGCAGAAGAGCAACAUGGGGGGGGGGGGCAAGCCAUUGUGCAGAGAGCAGUAGGCUUUGAGUCAAGAGACUGGACUUUACCCAGGUUCUAUGUCAGACUGACUUUUGGCAAAGUAAGACUCAGCUUCCACUCAGUUUCCUGACGCAUGAAAUGACAAAGGUUGCUCCCGGCGCCCCGUGCUCUGACUCCGGGUCCCCUACCAGAAAGGGCUUCUUAUAAAGAUCACCUUAACUUGACAGGCCACAACUGUCCUUCCUACGAACUUCGCACAGCAGGACAGAAGCUCCACCUGUUUGCAUGAGGCCUGGGUUGUGGGAUAAGGGAUUUCCUGAUGGAACCCCAAGAGUCUGUAUCGUCACAUCCUCCCCAGUGAGCCCAUGAGGAAGUGUACCAAAAAGCCACAGGGUGAGAACAGUUUGGGGGCAGCCGUAAGAACAGGUUGUGUUUAUUUAGGGGCUGGAAAUGUAAAUGCACGUAUCAAACGCCUCCCCCACACCACCCACACCGCCCCUACCAUGGUUACCAAAAAAAAAAGAAAAGAAAAAGAAAAAGAAAAAGAAAAAAGGACACAGCGGAUCUUUGGCACAGUUAGGCCUUGCCCAUUUUCAGCUCUGGUCUUUCUCUGAGGUAAUAUCUUUAUCUGCUGCCCGCCAGACCUGUUUGUUGGUGCAGGUAAGUUUUGCUUCCUUCUGACUCACCAUAGCUUGCUUGGCGGCAGUGAACCCGGAAGCCGCUGUUUCCUGAUGAUCUUUGGCCUACUUCUUCCGAGAUGCCGUGGGGCAGUCAUGGCACCCUGGGCGGUGGGUUGACUUUCCCUCAGUCAAAAGCCUUUGGCACGGCCACCUCCUGGUACCCCCGAAGCCCUGCUGAGAAGUCACGGUGGAGAAGUGCCAGGAAACGCCUCCCACACUCUGUUAAUUACACAAGGGACUUUUAAAAGUAAAAACUGGGUACCCAAAGCCCCCAGGAAGUACCAUACGAGCCACGACCUCCAAAAUGAACCAGUUAAGGAGGUCCAGCACAGCGGAAGAGGGCUUGCAUUUCGAAGUUAGAUAAACCCCAGUUGGACCAACCUUAGUGCAACAUGGAACUCGUUAAUAGUUCCACCUGCCUUGCUGUUUUGCAGUUCCACGCCUCAAUUGUGCUGCCUCCGCUUUCUGGAAUGCUCUGCCCCACCCCACGGCCUCUCUUCACGGAACUACCUCCCGCUUAUCGUCCGCAGUUCAAACACCACCUCCUCCAGGAAGUCCACCCUGCACAUCCCCAGCUGCAUUAGAUGCCCCUCUUGGUACUUAGCCUCAUGCCCCAUGUACGGCUGUCAUUGCACUUACCAUAUUGUUGUAUAAUUGCUAUCUUCCGCUCCUACGCUGAAUUUCUUCUUGGCCAGAACCAACACAUUUUAUUCAUCUUUGUUCUCUCCGUAGCUCAAUGCAUAACUUAGUAUGUUCAUUAAAUAAA
rnacentral:lncRNA from 1 species